UCGAGAAUUUUUCUCAAUGGGGGCAACCCUGAAGGAGCGACGCCGCGUGGAGGAUGAAGGCUUUCGGGUUGUAAACUCCUGUCAUUUGGGAACAAUGGCUACGCGUUAACUGCGCGGAGCUUGAUAGUACCAGAAGAGGAAGAGACGGCUAACUCUGUGCCAGCAGCCGCGGUAAUACAGAGGUCUCAAGCGUUGUUCGGAUUCAUUGGGCGUAAAGGGUGCGUAGGUGGCGCCGUAAGUCAGAUGUGAAAUUUCGGAGCUUAACUCCGAAACUGCAUUUGAUACUGCGGUGCUUGAGGACUGGAGAGGAGACUGGAAUUCAUGGUGUAGCAGUGAAAUGCGUAGAGAUCAUGAGGAAGACCAGUGGCGAAGGCGGGUCUCUGGACAGUUCCUGACACUGAGGCACGAAGGCCAGGGGAGCAAACGGGAUUAGAUACCCCCGUAGUCC
rnacentral:rRNA from 1 species